GGAAUAUAGCUCAGUUGGUAGAGUGCUUGCCUUGCAUGCACAAGGCCCUGGGUUUGAUCUCCAGAACCA
rnacentral:tRNA from 1 species